rnacentral:hammerhead_ribozyme from 1 species
AUUCAUCGGACGAGUCUAAAUAUGACGAAACGCACGUCCUGGAU